CCCCCCCCCCCGGGUAAGCGUAUAGGCGGGUCUCGAUGAGAGUUGGGGCCGUAACGCUGAGACGUGAUGCCGAUCCAAUAGGAGAAGUCACUGAUCCCAUGCUGCCAAGAAAAUCCCAGCAGUGAGUUGGCACGGUGCCCGUACCCCAAACCGACACAGGUGGGCGGGUAGAGAAUACCAAGGCGAUCGGGAGAACUAUGGUUAAGGAACUCGGCAAAUUACCUCCGUAACUUCGGGAGAAGGAGGACCCUUACUGGUGACGAUCUUUACGAUCCGAGCUGGCGAGGGUGGCACAGACCAGGGGGUAGCGACUGUUUACCAAAAACACAGCAGCGUGCGAAGCCGCAAGGCGCUGUAUACGCUGUGACGCCUGCCCAAUGCUGGAAGGUCACGGGGAAUGGUUAGCUGAAAGGCGAAGCUAUGAACCUAAGCCCCAGUGAAUGGCGGCCGUAACUAUAACGGUCCUAAGGUAGCGAAAUUCCUUGUCGGGUAAGUUCCGACCUGCACGAAUGGCGUAACGACUUCCCCGCUGUCUCAACCAUAGACCCGGCGAAAUUGAAGUACGAGUAAAGAUGCUCGUUAGCUGCGGAAGGACGGAAAGACCCCGUGGACCUUUACUAUAACUUGGUGUUGAGUUUUGAAUUGCGUUGUGUAGGAUAGGUGGGAGACUUGGAAGCAUUGGCGCUAGCCAGUGUGGAGUCAACGUUGAAAUACCACCCUGCGUACUUUGGAGCUCUAACCCUGGUCCGUAAUCCGGAUCGGGAACAGCGCCAGGCGGGUAGUUUGACUGGGGCGGUCGCCUCCUAAAAUGUAACGGAGGCGCCCAAAGGUUCCCUCAGGCUGGUUGGCAAUCAGCCGUCGAGUGCAAUGACACAAGGGAGCUUGACUGCGAGACCUACAAGUCAAGCAGGUACGAAAGUAGGGCAUAGUGACCCGGCCAUCGCUUGUGGAAGCGUGGUCGCUCAACGGAUAAAAGGUACCCCGGGGAUAACAGGCUAAUCUUUCCCAAGAGUCCAUAUCGACGGAAAGGUUUGGCACCUCGAUGUCGGCUCAUCGCAUCCUGGGGCUGAAGCAGGUCCCAAGGGUUGGGCUGUUCGCCCAUUAAAGCGGUACGCGAGCUGGGUUCAGAACGUCGUGAGACAGUUCGGUCCCUAUCCUCCGCAGCCGUAGGAACAUUGACGAAGGCUGUCCCUAGUACGAGAGGACCGGGACGGACGGAGCUCUGGUGUGUCUGUUGUCCUGCCAAGGGCACGGCAGAUUAGCCACCUCCGGAAGGGAUAACCGCUGAAAGCAUCUAAGUGGGAAACCCGUUCGAAGAUGAGUGUUCCCAUGCGGUCAACGCAGUAAGGCCCGUGGCAAGACCACCACGUUGAUAGGCCGGAGGUGUAAGUGUGGCAACACAUUCAGCCGACCGGUACUAAUCGGCCGAGGGCUUGGAUCG
rnacentral:rRNA from 1 species